UAACUUUUGACAGCUCCUUGAGAAGAACAUGGCCGUCAUUUGCAGUUGAACUGUCAUUGCGAACACAUGGCAAGAUUAAAUAAGGUUAUAGUGUAAUUGUGUUUUAAUUAUUUCUAACUACAGUGCCAGUUUAUAAGAAUGGAGAAAAGUAUUAAAUACAAGAAAAAGUAUAACCGACCUAAGCAGUUUGUAAGGAAGAAUUGCUACGUCUUGGAUAAUAGUAUUCAAUGUGAUCAAGUUGCAGUAUAGGAUUCUAGUUAACGAUUAAGGAACAAAGAUGAUAUUUAUUGGAAGCAAUAUUGAUGUAUUCACUUGAAGCAGAAAUAAUAAAUCAGCAUUAUUCGUGAACAUCACUCGCUGCAUCUUAUUGUUCCGGAGAUUUUGUGCAGUUGAGCAGUUUGUGAUAGAACAGCUUACCAUGAUGUUGACUGCCGAAGAAUUGGUUUCUUCAAGUGUUUAUAGUAGUAUUCGGGACCCUGAGAGAAAAGUUACUUAACUUGUAAAAUAAGUGAUGGAGGAAAUUCAUUUAGGAAGCACAUAAGACUUCUGUCACAGGGUGCUGUUGCAGCAAGUUUUCAAAGUAGUUGCUAUACGAAGUUUAGAUUUCCAGCAGACUAAUGGUGCUACUUUUUUCGGAUGAUCAAAUACCACAGUUUUAGACCUAAUACAAAGCAUGACACGAGUUCCAAAAUGCCAAAAUUACAAAUGGAACAAA